AGUGAACGCUGGCGGUAGGCCUAACACAUGCAAGUCGAACGGCAGCACAGUAAGAGCUUGCUCUUACGGGUGGCGAGUGGCGGACGGGUGAGGAAUACAUCGGAAUCUACUUUUUCGUGGGGGAUAACGUAGGGAAACUUACGCUAAUACCGCAUACGACCUACGGGUGAAAGCAGGGGAUCUUCGGACCUUGCGCGAUUGAAUGAGCCGAUGUCGGAUUAGCUAGUUGGCGGGGUAAAGGCCCACCAAGGCGACGAUCCGUAGCUGGUCUGAGAGGAUGACCGGCACACCUGGAAUGAGGCAACGGUCAAGCCUCCAACGGGAGGAGGAAGUGGGAAAUAUUGGCAAAGGGGCGCAACCCUGAUCCAGCCAAACCGCGUGGGUGAAGAAGGCUUUCGGGUUGUAAAGCCCUUUUGUUGGGAAAGAAAAGCGGCAGGUUAAUACCCCGCUGUUCUGAGGGUACCAAAAGAAUAGGCACCGGUUAACUUCGG
rnacentral:rRNA from 1 species